AGUGAACGCUGGCGGUAGGCCUAACACAUGCAAGUCGAACGGCAGCACAGUAAGAGCUUGCUCUUACGGGUGGCGAGUGGCGGACGGGUGAGGAAUACAUCGGAAUCUACUUUUUCGUGGGGGAUAACGUAGGGAAACUUACGCUAAUACCGCAUACGACCUACGGGUGAAAGCAGGGGAUCUUCGGACCUUGCGCGAUUGCAUGAGCCGAUGUCGGAUUAGCUAGUUGGCGGGGUAAAGGCCCACCAAGGCGACGAUCCGUAGCUGGUCUGAGAGGAGGAUCAGGCACACUGGAACGGAGACACGGUCCAGACUCCUACGGGAGGCAGCAGUGGGGAAUAUUGGACAAUGGGCGCAAGCCUGAUCCAGCCAUACCGCGUGGGUGAAGAAGGCCUUCGGGUUGUAAAGCCCUUUUGUGGGGAAAGAAAAGCAGCAGGUUAAUACCCCGCUGUUCUGACGGUACCCAAAGAAGAAGCACCGGCUAACUUCGUG
rnacentral:rRNA from 1 species